AACGCACCUUGCGCUCCCUGGUCAUUCCGGGGAGCAUGCCUGUUUGAGUGUCAUAAUACUCUCAACCCCUGGGGUCUUUUAAACGGACCACCUCGGGCUUGGAUCAUGGACGCUGCCGGCCCCCCUCGGGGGUGUGGCUCGUCUGAAAUACAUGAGCUGACCUGUCUGCGAACAGCACGGUUUGACUCGGCGUAAUAAAUCCAUUUUUCGUCGGGGACACCCUUCGCGGGGUGGCCGGGCUCGCGGUCUUCGGGUUGCUUACAAUCGAAUAGUCCCAUCUAUUUUAGACCUCAAAUCAGGUAGGAUUACCCGCUGAACUUAA
rnacentral:misc_RNA from 1 species